GACAGAGGGUGCAAACGUUGUUCGGAAUUACUGGGCGUAAAGCGCGUGUAGGCUGCUUGGAAAGUCGGAUGUGAAAGCCCUGGGCUCAACCCAGGAAGUGCACUCGAAACUUCCGAGCUCGAGUUCUGGAGAGGAUAGCGGAAUUCUCGGUGUAGAGGUGAAAUUCGUAGAUAUCGAGAGGAACACCGGUGGCGAAGGCGGCUAUCUGGACAGAAACUGACGCUGAGACGCGAAAGCGUGGGGAGCAAACAGG
rnacentral:rRNA from 1 species